AGAGUUUGAUCCUGGCUCAGGAUGAACGCUGGCGGCGUGCCUAAUACAUGCAAGUCGAACGCGCAGCGAAAGGUGCUUGCACCUUUCAAGCGAGUGGCGAACGGGUGAGUAACACGUGGAUAACCUGCCUCAAGGCUGGGGAUAACAUUUGGAAACAGAUGCUAAUACCGAAUAAAACUUAGUAUCGCAUGAUACAAAGUUGAAAGGCGCUACGGCGUCACCUAGAGAUGGGUCCGCGGUUCAUUAGUUAGUUGGUGGGGUAAAGGCCUACCAAGACAAUGAUGCAUAGCCGAGUUGAGAGACUGAUCGGCCACAUUGGGACUGAGACACGGCCCAAACUCCUACGGGAGGCUGCAGUAGGGAAUCUUCCACAAUGGGCGAAAGCCUGAUGGAGCAACGCCGCGUGUGUGAUGAAGGCUUUAGGGUCGUAAAGCACUGUUGUAUGGGAAGAAAUGCUAGAAUAGGGAAUGAUUCUAGUUCGACGGUACCAUACCAGAAAGGGACGGCUAAAUACGUGCCAGCAGCCGCGGUAAUACGUAUGUCCCGAGCGUUAUCCGGAUUUAUUGGGCGUAAAGCGAGCGCAGACGGCUGAUUAAGUCUGAUGUGAAAGCCCGGAGCUCAACUCCGGAAUGGCAUUGGAAACUGGUUAACUUGAGUGUUGUAGAGGUAAGUGGAACUCCAUGUGUAGCGGUG
rnacentral:rRNA from 1 species